rnacentral:lncRNA from 1 species
UACUACACCGUAUGCCGGGACGGAAAAAAAUGAAGGACCAUGUGCAUGCAAUCUCAUGCGUUGACCGUUGACCGGAUUUACCAGAUUUGGGUGGCGGGGGGGAAAAAGUCGGUGACCAACCCAACGAAGGCGUAUCCAUCCGGAACCCGGUGCACGCGUUUCAUGGGGGCUCCGUGGUCCCUUCGCCAUCCUAUUUCCCCUUGCCAACAGCCGGUAGUACGAUGCGAUGCUACCGUCAGGUCAGGUGGUUCUACCUCUCCGUUUUAGCCGUUGAAAACCUCGUUUCUCCUCCUCCUUUUGUCCAA